AUGUUCUCCUAUAGAGAGGAGUAUCCUUAUUCGCAUCACUAUGAUUACGAGCCAUUCAUACGGGCCGUCGAGAAAUUCCCUCAGUUAUACAAUAGGAAACACCCGCUGUAUUGGAAAAUUCGCGGAUAUCCUGCAAGGAGAAGCACAUGGGAAGAUGUUGGAAGAAUGUGUAACUUUCGACGUAUCGAUGCGUCCAAUAUCCAGACUAUUUGGGAAACUCUGAGAAACUCUUACACAAGUUAUCGCCUACGGAAAAGAGAAAAUGAAUUACUGGGGAAACCUCCACCGACGUGGAAGUACGCUGAAGCCAUGUCGUUUUUGGAACCUUACCUGAUGCAUAAAAAGAGGAAAAAUCCGGAAGUCCAGAACGCAAACGCCGCGGAAGGACAAAAGAUUCUUUCAAAAAAACCUGAUACGAACGCCGACCUUCCUUCCAAUCCUGCUACCUGCGACAAAUCAAACAAACCUGGUUCGAACAUCUACCACGUCUCCAGUCCUUGUCCCUGCGACAAACAUCGCUCCUGCAACAAUGGCGGCUUACCCACCCCCUCGGAUUCAUCCGUGACGAUUUCUUCAGUGGACGCAGACGACACGGAUGAAAGUAUCUCUCUUUCACCAUUCUGCAUGGCCGACGCUGAUUCGGUGAAAAGACAGAUGUUAGAGCUGCCUCAGACGCAAGAUGAGCCACCUCCAGCGCAACGAGUAAAGUUGGAACCAUCGGAAGACCAAACAAUGAGCCAUGGAUCUCCACCGACUCAAUCAAUGACGUCGGAGUCUUUCGCGACGGAACAAGCGAGUCAGAUGUCGCCUGUAGAGAACCGACCGAGAGUAUCGCCUAUUAUGGAAGAAGUGACGGUGAACUCACACAUGAUGCAACAACUGGGUCAUAAGUCAACACUAACUCAACGGGUGAGUCAUAAGCUAUCACUGGCUCAACCAUCGAGUCAGGAAACACCAUUGAUUCAACGAGUGAGCCAUGAGCCAUCACUGACUCAGCCAUCGAGCCAGGAAUCACCAUUGAUUCAACGAGUGAGGAAUGAAAAGAUCCAAAGAGCGAGUCGCGAGUCGCUACCGAUACAGCAAGUAACAUUAGAAUCAUCUUGGUCAGAGCAAGUCAACUCCGCAGUCACCUCCCAGGGAGCGCAUGAGACAAGAGUCGACCUCUUUCGAAGGAGUGAUGUCCUCAACGACCCAGCAAGUUAGUCACGAGUCAUCGCAAAUCGGCAAUACGACACUUCCCAGGCGUAAGGUGAGUUUGGAGGCGUUCCCAAGGGAGGGAUUGAGAUCAGAAUCAUCCCCGGAUGCUCUAGCCCUGUUUUUUGUAGCUACCGAGGCGACUGUCCGCCGACUAAGUCCUAUCUUGCAAAUCCAGGCGAAAGCCAAAAUCAGCGCUCUCAUGGCAGAGCUAGAGAUGAAGUCCCUCUUCCCGGACGGUUGAAUCAAAUGUUCUUGUCAAUAUCCCUCUUUCUCCUCCAAAUCUUCCUCCGCCUUUUCCUCCCCCUCCUCCUCCCUCCCUCUCUCCCCUUUUUCUGAUCUUCCUUCUAUUCCUUCCCUCUGUUCCUUCUACUCUUCCUCCUAUUUCUUCUUUUACUCCCUUUUUUCCCACUCCUUCUUCCUCCCCCUCCUCCUUCUGUACCUCUCGUUUUUCUCUCUCUCUCUCCUCUUUCCCUCCAAUCACGCGGGCUUCGAGUACCACAUGACGUAAUGCUUGUAAAUUGUCACAAAUUACCUUUGAUAAGUUGUGAAUAUAAUAUUCUGACAAUGAGACUUGCAUUUCAUGUUCCUUUUUUUGUGUGACAUUUAAAUCUAAAAAAUUUACGAAUAUUGAAUUGUGCCUCAGCUAAAAAUCUCCCGGGGCCUUUUGUUCCUUUAAGUUUUUUUCAAACUGUAUGUAAUCCGGUUGAUAAGAAUUAUUUAACUUAUUUCGUUUCUUAUUUAAGUUUUAUUUUGACAUGAGUUUUAUGCGUUAGAGCUUAAGUUUUAGCAUGGUUGUUCCUAUAAUUUACCAUUUUAUGGUGACAACAGUUUGUCACAUAAUGUAGUGAUAUCAAUGUGACUAAGGAUUAAAUAACAGCACAAACUUGUAAAGUUAUUCAUGCAAAACUAAGUCAUAUUUUAUAAUAUCUUCAAGCCUUAAUUUUAUUUUAUAUUUUAAUUUGAGUCCUUGAUUUUCCGUGACUGAGAUUGUUGUUUUGCAGGUGUUACUUCAAAUGAUAUUUCCUCAUUGCAUUUUAAGUAAAUUUCGCUAAAUUAUUAUAGUUAAAAUAUUAGCUGUUUUUUCAAAAGAUGAUUUUGUUUUGUACUUAUAUUUUGAUACCAAUAAUGUGAUUCGCGUGUAGUUAUACUGAACUCAUGUGAUUGAGAAUAUGCAACUUGAUGCAUAGGAUAAACUUGACUGAUUAUUGAUUAAUCUUCCAAUACUUUUUGUAAAAUAAGUGUUUAAAAUAUUUCUUUCUUUCAAAGAUACACGUUAUUUGCUUGAAAAAUUGUUCACUUAAUCAAUAAACUGCUGCGACGAGAAGAAUUAUAAUUCAUAAUGUAAGCAUUUCCUUUCUGAUUAAUAUCCUUAAAGCAUACUCUGCUUACAGCGGAAAGUAUUAUGCCAAAGUUAUUCAUGCGAUCUAGUGCGUCAAAUCCAUGGUUGUAGUCGAAAAAUUCGUAUCUUUAAUUUAGACGUUGCAAAUCUCCGUUCAUAUUUUAGCUUCUUUAAACAAAAUUAACAACUGCCACAUUUUUUGGAAAUAUUCCGCAACUUGUCUCAACUCGUUCAGAAAUAUUCAUGUAAGCAUUCAAAGAGUUAUUUUGGUUUGUAAUCUUAAAAUAAAAAAUAGACAUGAUUGAGGAUUUUCAAUGUUCCGAUAAAGAUACGUAUUUUUUGAGUUCAGCCAUCGGUAUUUUGAUCCGAUCAACUAUAUAUUUCCUGAUUAAAAUUAGGAGAUAAAAGGUUUAGGAAAAAAUCACAACAUUCGACCGCACGUAUAGCUAUAGCAAACGAGCCAGUAAAUUGAUCAUAAAAUUUAUGUAAUUUUUUUCUGUUUUCCCCCUCUUAGUAUGCCUUUAAUUAUUCAGCCGGCCACCUUCCUAGCAUCUAUUGAAAUCGUGUUUAGAUCAUUUAUCUCAUAGAUUUGAUGCAAUAUAAGGAGAAAACCCUGCAAGAUUUUCAAAGAGUAAAAUUGAAUAAUUGCAUUUCCCAAAGACGUAAAGUAGUGGUAGAAAUUUUGAAAUUUACGGGUAUCGACUCCUGAAAGAGAUAUUGACAAAUCCCCCCCCCCCCCCACACACAGAGCUAGUAACAGUGAGAUCAUGCGAGUGACUGCAUUUGUAUUUUUGCUUGCCGCUUAAACAAUGCUUAUUUUAAACAUUUGUGCCUAUCUUGUCUAGGAGUUUGUUUCCAUUUCAACUCAUGGGAUCUAUUUUUGCCUAACCGCCCAAUUGAAGGCUAAUCAAUGUCCGUUGUCUUCCGCAGAGGUUCCGAUCGAACGAGGAGCUGUGGCCUCCUUCUCCAUCACUUGAUCGAAAACAGAUAAUGCGCUUUGGCAAUGAUAUUUUUAUUGUUUAUUGGGAUUCUCACAAUUAUCAUAGGAUUUUACAUUACGGCGACUUUACUUAAAAAAUCAUAUGCAACUUUUAUACAUGCACAUUGCCGACUUAAAAAUUUAUCGGAUUAGCUACAAAUUAACACGGCUGGAUGUUUUGUAAAAUCCUUGUGGAUAAUCUGGUGCAUCGUGAAAUGAGGUUUUUCUUUACAUUCUUGUUUUGUACCUAAUGACGCAUAAUUUUUUCACUUAAAUUUUCCCAAGGUGGUUUUCAAGGUCGCGUUGCAUACACGGAAAAAUUUCAUUACUUGAAGAGAGGAAAUUGAAAUCCAGGUAAGCGCCCACGAGUGAAAAAAUUCAGAUGCCUCUCAUGAGUGAAAAAAUCAAAAGCAUAGGUGCUACAGGAAACAACUAUUCAAAAAUGCAAAGCUAUCGCUGGUCGCAGGAAAUGUCUAUAUAUCUGCCUCUGCGCCUCUGCGUAUUUUUAACCUGAGUCGAGCCAGGCCUCAAGAGUCUUGAGUCUACUACAUGUUAAAGUAAAUCUUUCGUUUUAAGGACAGAAUUUCGGUCCAUACAGAUCACUAUAUUUUUCGGUCCAGAUAAUCGAAUUUUUCAGUCAUAUAGAAACUGAACCUCCGUUCCGAUGACCGCGUUUUUCAGUAAAGAACACGAGUCAUUGUACUAACGUCUAACAAAAACUUUGGUUGGCUGAGCAGUCCGGUUACCUGGAUCGAAACUUUUGGUGUCCUUUGAACCGAAAGGCAUCCUUCCAUGCGCUGGGAGCGGUAUAUUUGUGUAAAAGAAAAGUAGAAAAGUUUUUAUGAAGUUUAAAGCGAUUAUUAUGCCCGAAUAAAAGCACGUUCCAUCGCUCUCUUAAACGAAAAUUGUCAAGCAACGGUGUGUUCAUGGUUGUAAGAAGAAAGCCUCAAGGGGGAGGGGGGGGGCUCGUAAACAACCCCCCCUCCCACACCGACUUCUGUGGAUGUAAAUAUGCCUUCCUUCCCGCUCCUAAAAAAAAAAAAAAAAAAAAAAAAAAAAAAAAAAAAAAUAUGCCAAGGGUGAGCUAAAAUCAUCUCUCUCUUGCAAAUGACCCUGGCUCAUAUUGAAAUCGACGAAUGGAAUGGAAGAAGAUUUGGCAAUUGAAUAAUUACAAGUACAAUGCAAUUCACAAAGCAAGAACUACGAGGCACACUGUCGGAAAAUUAUUCAAGAGUUUAUAUAUCAAAUGAUAUUUUCCUUAUCAAUCAUAUUCCUCUUAAACUCCUUUAAGUGUUUACUGAUAUUGCAUCCACUAAGCCGAUAAAUCAUUUUAUCAAAAAAAAACUUAAGAUACAAUUAUUAAGAUGCAAUUAUUUCUCCCAACUAAUGCGCAUAAUUAGUGUCUAUGAACUCUACUAUCUGGUGAGAGGAUAGAUUUAUUCCCGAGUUUUCAGUCGAUUCGCAUAACACUCUCAGUGCUAGUUUCAACCUGGCAGCCUUUCAUUGUAGUUCUAAACAAACGCGUGAUUCAUUUAACGUCACUUUUACUCUUGUUU
rnacentral:lncRNA from 1 species